GUGGGGAAUCUUAGACAAUGGGGGAAACCCUGAUCUAGCCAUGCCGCGUGAGCGAUGAAGGCCUUAGGGUUGUAAAGCUCUUUCAGCUGGGAAGAUAAUGACGGUACCAGCAGAAGAAGCCCCGGCUAACUCCGUGCCAGCAGCCGCGGUAAUACGGAGGGGGCUAGCGUUGUUCGGAAUUACUGGGCGUAAAGCGCGCGUAGGCGGACCAGAAAGUUGGAGGGGAAAUACCAGGGCUCAACCUUGGAACUGCCUUCAAAACUCCUGGUCUGGAGUUCGAGAGAGGUGGGUGGAAUUCCGAGUGUAGAGGUGAAAUUCGUAGAUAUUCGGAGGAACACCAGUGGCGAAGGCGGCUCACUGGCUCGAUACUGACGCUGAGGUGCGAAAGCGUGGGGAGCAAACAGGAUUAGAAACCCCGGUAGUCC
rnacentral:rRNA from 1 species